UGGUAUUUCAGGAUGUUCUCAUUUGCAAAUGACAUUUUGCUGUUGCCAGAAUACUUGUAUUUUCUCCUUGAUACCUUUGCUUUCCUUACCAGCUUGACAGCUUCCUUGGCACCUAAAUACUGAUUACAUAUGUGCUAUGAAAGGGCUUCUGUUUCUAUUUAGACUGCAGAAAAAAAAAUCUUAAAAAGAGGAAUUAAAAAAUAAAAAAAAAUCAAUAUUGCUGGUGAAAUAAUAAUUACAUAAUAUUUCUUACUUGAAAAUAAUUUUAAGAUCAGGAUGAAUUAAUUUGGCAUUACUUCUAUCUGCUUUCUGUCCUGGCACGUAAAGACUUUAGGUUGAUUACUUUAAUACCACACAUUUCCACUUCUCCCUGGUGACCUCUAUAUGUGUGGUUUGCUGCAACUCAAAGCCCACCAUGGAAGAUACAUUUCUCAAUUUGUGCAGUAUAUCCUACUAAGCAUUGACGACUUGCUGCUGUUAUAAAAGAAACAAGGCUAUUCUUACAAAAUCAAACUAAGCUUGAAAAUCAUCUGUUCACAGGAUGACAAAGAACUGGAAGAUUGUCAGUUUGGACUUACAGAAACAUAAAGAAUGUUUGAGAAUCUUCCAGUGCCUAACCUCGAGGAAAAACACGGUUGAAAGCCUAUGGAUCCCCAAGGCUACCAUUCUGAGCCAGUGUGGUAUCACAGCAACCUGGAAUGUUGACGAGAAGGGCAGUGCCAGCCAGAGAUCGCAGCCAAGUACCCCAGUGACCAAGGUCUGUGGCGGACAACAGCAGAAAUACGGAUAAAUGGCGGCUACUCCUCCUCAGUCUCAUACUCACAAAGGGAAAUAAGGACACAGCAGAGUGGCGAGACGCUCCUGUCAGCACCCGCAUUUGGCUCCCAAUGAGAGGGAUGUGCCCUACAGAAC
rnacentral:lncRNA from 1 species